rnacentral:misc_RNA from 1 species
GGAAGGAUCAUUAAUGAAAAGUUCUUUCAAGAACCAAUCAUCACCCCAUUGUUUACUUACCACGUUGCUUCCACUGGACAGGUUGGCCCGUUAAAAGGUCGACCCUCUGGCCUUGUGCUGGGGAGUGCCGGUGGAUAACCCAAACAAAAAAACUUGAACCAAAACCUAAAUAAGUCAUUUUGUCUGAAUAAGUUUUUAUAAACCUUUAUAAAACUUUCAACAACGGAUCUCUAGGCUCUUGCAUCGAUGAAGAACGCAGUGAAAUGCGAUACGUAAUGUGAAUUGCAGAAUCUCGUGAAUCAUUGAAUCUUUGAACGCACAUUGCGCCUUAUGGUAUUCCAUAAGGCAUGCCUGUCUGAGCGUCAGCUCCCCCCCACUCAAGCUCUUUUGCUUGGAUUAUUUUGGGCAAGCGGCUGUAAAAAGUUGCUGUUCACAAAUUCAUAGGCAGUAUGGUCUUUUCCAAGCUGAACGUAAUAAUUAAAAAAAUCACGUUUACUUUGAGAGAUAUUGUACUCGCCCUUAACCCACAAACUUUUUUAUGGGUGACCUCAGAUCAGGUAGGGAUACCCGCUGAACUUAAGCAUAUCAAUAAGCGGAGGAAAAGAAACCAACAGGGAUUGCCUCAGUAACGGCGAGUGAAGCGGCAAAAGCUCAGAUUUGAAAUCUGGCGUCAUAUUGGCGUCCGAGUUGUAAUCUGUAGAGGAGUAUUCGAGUGUGGCGCUGGCUUAAGUUCCUUGGAACAGGACGUCAUAGAGGGUGAGAACCCCGUUAACGGCCUUUGUCUUAUGCUCAUGUGAAUCUCCUUCAACGAGUCGAGUUGUUUGGGAAUGCAGCUCUAAAUGGGUGGUAAAUUCCAUCUAAAGCUAAAUACUGGCAAGAGACCGAUAGCGCACAAGUAGAGUGAUCGAAAGAUGAAAAGAACUCUGAACAGAGAGUUAAAUAGUACGUGAAAUUGUUGAAAGGGAAGCACUUGCUACCAGACACGCCUGUAGUGAUCAACCUUCAUUCUUGAUGGUGCACUCAGCUAUAGGUGGGUCAGCAUCAGUUACGGCGGUGGGAUAAAGACUUGGGGAAUGUGGCUUCUCUCGGGAAGUGUUAUAGCCCUUUGUGUAAUACCACCUGCUGUGACUGAGGACCGCGCUUCGGCGAGGAUGCUGGCAUAAUGGUCGUAAGUGACCCGUCUUGAAACACGGACCAAGGAGUCUAACAUCUAUGCGAGUGUUUGGGUGUCAAAACCCUUACGCGGAAUGAAAGUGAAUGUAGGUGGGAACCGCAAGGUGCACCAUCGACCGAUCCUGAUGUCUUCGGAUGGAUUUGAGUAGGAGCAUAGCUGUUGGGACCGAAAGAUGGUGAACUAUGCCUGAAUAGGGUGAAGCCAGAGGAAACUCUGGUGGAGGCUCGCAGCGGUUCUGACGUGCAAAUCGAUCGUCAAAUUUGGGUAUAGGGGCGAAAGACUAAUCGAACCAUCUAGUAGCUGGUUCCGGC